rnacentral:rRNA from 1 species
GGGUCAGUAGGUUGGUCGUGCCACCGGUACGUACUGGUCUCACUGAUUCCUCCUUCCUGAAGAACCGUAAUGCCAUUAAUUUGGUGUUGCGGGGAAACAGGACUGUUACUUUGAAAAAAUUAGAGUGUUUAAAGCAAGCUGACGCUUGAAUACAUUAGCAUGGAAUAGUGAAAUAGGACGAUCGAUCCUAUUUUGUUGGUUUCUAGGAUUGACGUA